rnacentral:rRNA from 1 species
AGUGAACGCUGGCGGCAGGCCUAAUACAUGCAAGUCGAACGGCAGCACAGUGGAGCUUGCUCCAUGGGUGGCGAGUGGCGGACGGGUGAGGAAUACAUGGGAAUCUGCCCAGUCGUGGGGGAUAACGUAGGGAAACUUACGCUAAUACCGCAUGCGCCCUUCGGGGGAAAGCCGGGGACCUUCGGGCCUGGCGCGAUUGGAUGAGCCCAUGUUCGAUUAGCUAGUUGGCGGGGUAAAGGCCCACCAAGGCGACGAUCGAUAGCUGGUCUGAGAGGAUGAUCAGCCACCCUGGGACUGAGACACGGCCCAGACUCCUACGGGAGGCAGCAGUAGGGAAUAUUGGACAAUGGGCGCAAGCCUGAUCCAGCCAUGCCGCGUGAGUGAAGAAGGCCCUCGGGUUGUAAAGCUCUUUUGUCCGGGAAGAAAAGCAUCGGGCUAAUACCUCGGUGUUCUGACGGUACCGGAAGAAUAAGCACCGGCUAACUUCGUG